rnacentral:lncRNA from 1 species
AAUGCUGGAUCCUUUAACCUACUGAGCCAGGCCAGGGAUCGAACAUGCACCUCUGCAGGGACCCAAGUCACUGCAGUCAGAUUCUAAACCCACUGCAUCAUAGUGGGAACUCCCCAUGAGUUGCUUUUGAUUGAACUAGAAACUUUUUCUUUCNUUUUUUUUUUUUUUUGUCUUUUUAGGGCUGCUCUUCCUGAUGGAAGUUCCCAGGCUACGGGUUGAAUUGGAGCUAUAGCUCUAGGCGGCCUACACCACAGCCCCUGCAACUGGAGAUCUGAGCCACAUCUGCGACCUACACCACAGCUCAUAGCAACGCCAGAUCCUUAAGCCACUGAGCGAGGGAUGGAGCCCUUUGUCCUCAUGGAUACUUGUUGGGUUUGUUUACCGCUGACCCAUGACAGGAACUCCCCACAGACUUUUUCUUAAGACCAAAACAAACAAACAAAAAAUACCCCCAACUUUAAAACCUUGAAUACUCAUUUAAAACCUUGAAUCCUCAUUUAAAACCUUGAAUCCUCAUUUUGAAGAAAAGAGGCACAAAUAAUAGAAAAUCAGAUUUAGGAUACAUUCUACUUACUCAAUGGGUGAUAUUUUAGGGACUUUACCACACUGUAACUCCCUUUCUUUAGUUAUAAGAUGGGAAUAAUGCUAAUAGUGCCACCCAUUAGGCCUGUAGUGAGGGUUAAAUGAGAUAAUGCAUGUAAAGUACUUGAUAAUGGCUGACUCUAAGUAGUCAAUAAGUAAUUUCCAUUAUUGCUAUUAUUAGUUUAGAGAGCAUUGGGAGAAUUAACUUAGAGACUCAGUAGGAGCUUUGUACAUUAUCGAGUAUUAGGCAACCACAGCUUAACUCCACAGUCCUAUUAUUAACUCUGAUGUUGGACUCGGUUUAAAGUGAAAGUAAGGUGGGGCGAUUCCAGGCUAGAGCAGGAUCAAAUCUGGGAAAGGCAAGGCUGGUAGCCAGGUCUAGGGGUAAAGGGAAGAAGUGAGCAAAAGGGGGGUCAGGGAGGGAGGAGGCAGGGAAGGGAGGUUUGGAACCAAGGUCAGUUGAAGUUGUUCCACAAUUGUGCUAAGUGUUGCUCUUCCUCUGAAUCCUUUGCUGGGUGUAAUGACUGCUGUGAUAGAUGUGAAACCCGCUAAUGACCCAGCUUUUAAGCCUUCGUAAGGGUUUUGCAGAAAGUCCCUCUAUCCAGAGACCUCACGUCUGAGGCCGAACAAAGAAGGGAAGGGGGAAUUAUUCAGAUGUACAGGACACAUGGGGUUAAGCUACACCCAUGAUUGGUUGCCUGUGUCAUCCCAUUUUUGAGGCUGCUCUUGGUUCCCUUAAUUAUCUCCUUCAAAAAAAGCACUUUGAACAAAAAAAAACAAUCACCGUCAGUUGGCUUUUCCAGUUGUGCUUCAGAGGUGCGUUUGUGUCGUUUGCUCUGGGCCUGAAAUUGUUCCUCAGAUUGUCUCCCUGAAGGAGUUUACAGACAUUGUACAAAGAAAUUAAUUAAGUAGAUUUUCCAUUUGCACAGUUUUAAUGAAUAAAUGAUGUUCCUAUUUGUUUAUCGGCUUUCUAAUUAUAACACAGUUCAAAACAUCUUGGUUUCCUGAAUUCCAACAAUGUUAUUGUCAUGGUGCUGUUAUUGCUGCUCUCACUGUGCAGGUAACAUUAUUUUUUUUUUUUUAGAUAGAUGCCAGGUGCUGUAUUCCAUAUUUAUUAUUAAAGUGUGAUCUGCAUAUUUUUCUCUUUUCAUGUAGCACUUAUCUGUAUAAGAGUCGAAAAUUAAAUGUAAUGCUUUCCUUUAAAGGGCCUGGAAGGAUUUCACCUCUGGGGAUUUGUAGUCUGGUGGGGGAAUUAAGGCUGGCCGACAUAAUUCAAGAUCCACAGAAGGAGGCUUGGGCCAGGGGCCCAGCCAGCAGGACCAAACCACUCUGCUCCAAGCAGCCACCAGGCCAUGAACUUGGCAGGAGGAUGGGUAGGUGGAAUCCUGGCAGGAAGGCAAAUGUCAGAAGCUCAAAGGCCAGCAGGUCAGGAACUCCAGAAAAGCAGCACAGAGGGAAGAGGACUCUAGAUCGGUGGCAGAGUCUUCUUCCUCUGUCCUAAAGGGUUGAGAUGGGCAGUCUGGAGAUCACAGGUGUCUGGGAUCGGCAAGGUUUGGAGGUCUGCAAAGGAACUCUGCAUUGACUGAGGUGUGGCCAAGGGUACCUGUCUCUCUCUCUCCACCCUGUCAGGAGGCAGAGCAGCAUCACUCUCUCUUUGCCCUUGACCAAGGGAGAGCCAUGGUCUGUAAAUCUGUCCUGACCUCAGAUAGGCAUUUGGGGACCAUCAAGUUUAACAACUUAUCAUGAGCCUUCCGUGAUGUGUCACCCAGGGGACCAGUACUAUAGGAACAUGCUUUUUCCCUCCCAGAGGUUAUAGUCUAGAGCCUAGAAACUGCUUUGGAAGACUUCUGGCCCUGACAUCACCUUUCAGCCUGGUGGAGUGUGCACCUAGUCUGUACCUGUUCAGAUACUGUGAACAUUAUCACUUUUGGAGUAUGGAGGCCACACUCCUCUUCCCCUUGUGCACCCCCCAUGACUCCACGGUGAAGAGAGGUAGCAUAGAAUAUAGCACUGUCAAUCUGAUUUUUUCUUUUUUGGCCACCCUGUGGCAUAUGGAGUUCCAGGGCCAGGGGUCAGAUCCAAGCUGCAGUUGUGAUCUGAUCUCAGCUGCAGUUGUGAUCUGAUCUCAGCAACCCUGGACCCUUAUCCCACCAUGCCAGGGAUCAAACCUGCGUUCCAGUGCUCCAGAGAUGCCACCAAUCCUUAGAAAACCUGAAUCUGAAUGACUUCCUGGCUUACUAUCCAUCCAUUUUAUGAACAUUAAAGUCCUUACAGUUGGACUGCUUAGGUUCAAGUUCAGGUUCCAUGGUUGGACCAUCUGUACAGUGCUUCACUUGCUCAUCCUUGGUUUUCUCAUCUGUGAAGUGAAGGGGAUAAAUGAAAUAAUACAUGUGAAACUUUAAUUGGGUAUUAAAGUUAUUAGCUAAUAUCGUCAUUAGAGAGCAAUGCAUGUUUGCUUAAUAAAUAUAUUCUAAAUUCUGAUAGAAAUACAAAAAUGUGUCCAUUUUCUUUUUGCCUCUCUUCUCCCCCACUGGCAUAGUAGCCCCUGCUCCUCAAUUUCCUUGUCGUGUACUUAGGGGUAAUGGGACGGCAUGCUUGCUUCCCAGGAGCACCAAGAAGAUGGAUGUUUAUGUUUAUAAAGUUGCUCUGAGCGACCUGAGGAAAAUUGCAAGUGAAAAGUAUUGUUCUCAUCAUGAUUAUUAAUUGAUCUCCCAACCACUCACCGGUUGGAAUAUGACUGAUCCAUAGACUCUGGAGGAAGAUUUAUCACUUGCCUCCCCAAACCUGUGGAUGUGCCUUUCAUUAAAUGCAAUUAUCUCUCAGCAAAUGCACACAUCUCAAGUCCACCGCCUCUUACUCAAUGAAAUCAUUAAACCUCUUUACAGCGAGGAGCCGUCAAAAGCCACCUGAUGAAAAAUGGGUAUAGCUUGGUACUUAGGUUUCAUUAUACAAUAUCUACUCUUGGAGAGUUUCAAGGAUGUUGUUCUGUUGUCUCUGCUUUCUUGUCUUUUUUUUUUUUUUUUUUGGCUUUUAUUUUUUUAAACCCUGCUUUCCCUCCCUUGUUACUCUUUUAGGCUGUAUAGAAUACAAGUGUAGAGAUUUCUCUGUGUCUCUUCUCAGCACUACAGCACAGGCAGGAUUCUGCCUUGGGAAGGGGUGGGCAUAUUUGAGAGGAGGGUGGCAGAAUUGGCCACAUGUAGGGAUCACUCUGUAGAGCUUUUCCUUCUCGGAAUCUCUACCAUGAGAGAGAAUCCCUGAAGGAUUAUGAAUCUUUGUUUCCUAGAAUCCGCAAUUCAACACCUAAUUCAAUUUCCUUGGAGGGAUGGUCAGAGCCCUUUUUCAUUAGCUGUAAACAGACUUAGCAAGGAGAAGCUGACGUAUAAGAUGAGUAAAUUUCAAGGGCGGGAGAAAGAGGGGUGAGGGAGAGAUAAACCACAAAGAGGGGAAACCUCAGGGCCCACUGGGAAGGAAGGAGGGGUACUGAAGGAAGGAAAGAAGCCCCCUUCCAGGAAUAAAAUGUGCUUCUCCUGAGUUAGCCUCUGGCCAGUCUUGAUGGGUCUGGGGCAGGUGGCAUAAACCACAAGUAAAGAGCAGGUUCCAUGGCCUGAGUUCCACCAGCAAGAGAAGAUUUGAGGAUGCUCUGGAAGGCCUCAGAAUCAGGAACAAAAGUACCAUUAACAGAGGAGAAGGCAGAAAAUGGGGUCAGGGAGGAGAAAAGUGAAAGGAACAUCUGGGGGCGUCAAGAAAUGUAGACUCUCUGAGUUCCUGUCGUGGCUCAGCGGAAACAAAUCUGACUAGUAUCCAUGAGGAUGAAGGUUUGAUCCCUGGCUUUGCUCAAUGAGUUAAGGAUCCAACAUUAAUCCUAAACUGUGGUGUAGGUCACAGACAUGGCUUGGAUCUGGCAUUGCUGUGGCUGUGGGGUAGGCAGGCAGCUAUAGCUUCGUUUUGACCCCUAGCUUGGGAACCUCCAUAUGCCACAGGUAUGGCCUUAAAAAGACGAAAAGGAAGGAAAGAAGGAAGGAAGGAAGACUCUUGAUUACAAGUCUGUGGGAUACCCUGUGUAUCUGGUAUACUGUCCUGUGUGACCAUGAUGGUAGAGGCACAGAGCACUACUGGAUGGUCCCUCAGCUGCCUCGUCAAGAUCAACUACAAGAAUUCCCUGGGGAGUUCCCAUCGUGGCGCAGUGGUUAACGAAUCCGACUAGGAACCAUGAGGUUGCGGGUUCGGUCCCUGCCCUUGCUCAGUGCGUUAACGAUCCGGCGUUGCCGUGAGCUGUGGUGUAGGUUGCAGACACGGCUCGGAUCCCGCGUUGCUGUGGCUCUGGCGUAGGCCGGUGGCUACAGCUCCGAUUCAACCCCUAGCCUGGGAACCUCCAUAUGCCGCGGGAGCGGCCCAAGAAAUAGCAACAACAACAACAACAACAA